rnacentral:rRNA from 1 species
AUACGUAGGGGGCGAGCGUUGUCUGGAAUUACUGGGUGUAAAGGGCGUGUAGGCGGGGAUGCAAGUUAUCGGUUAAAACCCAAGGCUCAACCUUGGGCUUGCCGGUAAAACUGUGUCUCUUGAGUAUAGGAGAGGGAAGUGGAAUUCCCGGAGUAGCGGUGAAAUGCGUAGAUACCGGGAGGAACACCAGUGGCGAAGGCGGCUUCCUGGCCUAUUACUGACGCUGAGGCGCGAAAGCUAGGGUAGCGAACGGGAUUAGAUACCCCGGUAGUCCUAGCCGUAAACGAUGGUUACUAGGUGUGGGUGGUGGUCAAGCCAUCCGUGCCGGAGCUAACGCAAUAAGUAACCCACCUGGGGAGUACGGCCGCAAGGUUGAA